rnacentral:rRNA from 1 species
GCUUAACACAUGCAAGUCGAGGGGCAGCAUGUCCAGCAAUGGAUGAUGGCGACCGGCGGAAGGGUGCGUAACGCGUGAGCAACAUGCCCUAUACAGGGAGAUACACCAGGGAAACUUGGUCUAAUAUCCCAUAUCAUUCAUUGAAGGCAUCUUUAAUGAAUUAAAGCUUCGGUGGUAUAGGAUUGGCUCGCGUGACAUUAGCCAGAUGGUGAGGUAACGGCUCACCAUAACAAUGAUGUCUAGGGGUUUAGAGAGGAACGCCCCCCACACUGGGACUGACACACGGCCCACACUCCUACGGGAGGCAGCAGUGAGGAAUAUUGGACAAUGGAUGGAAAUCUGAUCCAGCCAUGCCGCGUGCAGGAAGACGGCCUUAUGGGUUGUAAACUGCUUUUAUACGGGAGCAAUAAGGGUUACGAGUAAUCCGAUGAGAGUACUGUAUGAAUAAGGAUCGGCUAACUCCGUGCCAGCAGCCGCGGUAAUACGGAGGAUCCGAGCGUUAUCCGGAAUUAUUGGGUUUAAAGGGUGCGUAGGCGGCCAUUUAAGUCAGCGGUGAAAUUUUGCAGCUUAACUGUAACAGUGCCGUUGAUACUGUUUGGCUAGGAUUUGGUUGUAGUGUGCGGAAUGUGUGGUGUAGCGGUGAAAUGCUUAGAUAUCACACAGAACACCGAUUGCGAAGGCAGCACACUAAGUCAUUAUUGACGCUGAGGCACGAAAGUGUGGGGAUCAAACAGGAUUAGAUACCCUGGUAGUCCACACUGUAAACGAUGAUAACUCGCUGUCGGCGAUACACAGUCGGUGGCCAAGCGAAAGCAUUAAGUUAUCCACCUGGGGAGUACGACCGCAAGGUUGAAACUCAAAGGAAUUGACGGGGGCCCGCACAAGCGGAGGAACAUGUGGUUUAAUUCGAUGAUACGCGAGGAACCUUACCCGGGCUCGAACGGUGCAUGAAUAUACGAGAGAUUGUAUAGUCCUUCGGGACAUGUAUCGAGGUGCUGCAUGGUUGUCGUCAGCUCGUGCCGUGAGGUGUCGGCUUAAGUGCCAUAACGAGCGCAA